GGAGGCAGCAGUGGGGAAUAUUGCACAAUGGGCGCAAGCCUGAUGCAGCCAUGCCGCGUGUAUGAAGAAGGCCUUCGGGUUGUAAAGUACUUUCAGCGGGGAGGAAGGCGAUGCGGUUAAUAACCGCGUCGAUUGACGUUACCCGCAGAAGAAGCACCGGCUAACUCCGUGCCAGCAGCCGCGGUAAUACGGAGGGUGCAAGCGUUAAUCGGAAUUACUGGGCGUAAAGCGCACGCAGGCGGUCUGUCAAGUCGGAUGUGAAAUCCCCGGGCUCAACCUGGGAACUGCAUCCGAAACUGGCAGGCUUGAGUCUCGUAGAGGGGGGUAGAAUUCCAGGUGUAGCGGUGAAAUGCGUAGAGAUCUGGAGGAAUGAAACGGUGGCGAAGGCGGCCCCCUGGACGAGAGACUGACGCUCAGGUGCGAAAGCGUGG
rnacentral:rRNA from 1 species